CCUCACUUUCCCUUGCAAUCCCCUUCCACCGCCAUCCAUUUCCUUUCAAUUGCUCUUUCUUUUAUUGUCAUUCUUGCUCUGUUUCAGCUGGGAAAAGAGGAGGAAGAAACAGAGCACGAGAGAGGGAGGGAGAGGGAGAAGUGUCGAGAUAGCAAGGAAGAGCGUGACUUUGCUCUCUGGUUCGAUUGUCCACCAAUUUCAGGAUCAUGGAGACUAAAUCCUUGUACUCUGAAGGGUUGACUCAGUUUGCUAUCUUUCUCGAGGUUUUCGGUGAGUACUCUAUUCUCUUGUGAAAUGAUGUAUUAUAGUUAUAUAAAUUAUUUAAGAAUAAUAUGGUGAUAGUUAGAGAUUAAGGAAUCGGUCUUGCUAUGUUGUAUGAAGAGAAUUGAGAGAUACUGCCUCUCAUGUUACAUUUUGACUUGAAAUUUGCUUAUAUUGCUUGUUUCUUUAUGGUUAUGCUACUUGGUUGUGCUAUAUAUUGUUUUCGUGGACUAAUUGUGAUUGUGUAUGUUGACGUGACUUGGUUGAUUAUAGACAUGGGACCUUUGGACCCGGCGGAUUACAAAAGAGGCCCGAUCGGCCGCUAGAUCCAACGGAAUACAAAUAGGACAUGAUCGGCCACUAGACUCGGUAUAAUACAAAUAGGGCUUUGAUCAGCCGCUGGACUCGGCAGAAUAUAAGUGGGGAACAGAUCGGUUACUGGACCCGACAGAAUAGAAAUGAGGGCAGGAUCGGCCGCUAGACCUGGCGGAAUAUAAAUAGUGGUCAACUCUUACCACCAAAGGUUAAUAGGCGGCCCUCACUUAUGAGAUAUUGGUAUUAGGAGUUGAGGAUGAUGUGAGUGAGAAGUGUAGGGUUACGAUACCGUCUUAACUUAUCGUAAAAAAAUGCGACCCUAUGGCUAUAUUGAUUGAUUGUGCUAUAUAUUGUUAUUUGAUCUGAUUGUUAUAGAUGUGAUGAUUGUUGAGAUUGUUUGAAGUUUUGUGAAAGUCGUAUUGUUUAUUAGAGCUGGAUAUAGUCAAUGUAUGAAUGUUAGGUGGUGCCGAGUUAAUGGUUAAUUCUACUAUUACUAUAUGAUUAUAAAGAUGAUUGAUUGUUUAAAAAUCAAUUUAGUCAUUAUUUGUGUAUAAUGUAUAUCAUGCUGUGUUGGUGAAUUUAACGACGGAUUUAGGUAUGCUAAUAUUAUCUUUGUUCAUUUAGAAAUAUAUUUUUACUUAAUAAUAGUUCAUUUCACUCUGGAAUUUUGUGUUCACUGAGAUGUAGCUCAUUCCCUGCAUAUAUUUUUCAAAUGAGUUAGGAGCUAGACAAGCAGCACAUGAGAACUUUUUGGAUAUUGGGGAUCAGCGUGAAGGAUUUUUGCAGUUAGACCUUAGGUAGUUAAUAAGUAUUUUUUUUUAUAGAAUGUAUUUGAAUAUAUUACGGCCCGAAAUUUUUGUUUAAUUGGUUUAGUGAUGUGACUCUCUUACAAUGUAUAUAUAUAUAUGUGAGAGCUUGCAGGAUUGAUUAUAUAUAUUGAGAAAUUUAUGGAAA